rnacentral:rRNA from 1 species
GAACGCUGGCUACAGGCUUAACACAUGCAAGUCGAGGGGAAACGGCAUUGAGUGCUUGCACUGAAUGGACGUCGACCGGCGCACGGGUGAGUAACGCGUAUCCAACCUUCCCGUUACUGCGGGAUAACCUGCCGAAAGGCAGACUAAUACCGCAUGUUCUUCGAUGACGGCAUCAGAUUCGAAGCAAAGAUCCGUCGGUAACGGAGGGGGAUGCGUCUGAUUAGCUAGUUGGCGGGGCGACGGCCCACCAAGGCGACGAUCAGUAGGGGUUCUGAGAGGAAGGUCCCCCACAUUGGAACUGAGACACGGUCCAAACUCCUACGGGAGGCAGCAGUGAGGAAUAUUGGUCAAUGGGCGGAAGCCUGAACCAGCCAAGUAGCGUGCAGGAUGACGGCCCUACGGGUUGUAAACUGCUUUUAUGCGGGGAUAAAGUGAGGGACGCGUCCCUUUUUGCAGGUACCGCAUGAAUAAGGACCGGCUAAUUCCGUG